AUUGAACGCUGGCGGCGUGCCUAACACAUGCAAGUCGAGCGCGAAAGGGGCUUCGGCCCUGAGUAAAGCGGCGCACGGGUGAGUAACACGUAGAUAAUCUGCCCAUAUAUUCGGGAUAACGUCUGGAAACGGGCGCUAAUACCGUAUACGCUCUGGAUGAAACUUUCAGAGGAAAGGCGGCCUCUAUUUAUAAGCUGUUGUAUAUGGAUGAGUCUGCGUCUCAUUAGGUAGUUGGUGGGGUAAAGGCCCACCAAGCCGAUGAUGAGUAGCCGGCCUGAGAGGGUGAACGGCCACACUGGGACUGACACACGGCCCAGACUCCUACGGGAGGCAGCAGUGGGGAAUAUUGCGCAAUGGACGAAAGUCUGACGCAGCGACGCCGCGUGAGGGACGAAGGUCUUCGGAUCGUAAACCUCUGUCAGAAGGGAAGAAGUGUAACGGGAGUAACUGCCUGUUAUUUGACGGUACCUUCAGAGGAAGCACCGGCUAACUCCGUGCCAGCAGCCGCGGUAAUACGGAGGGUGCGAGCGUUAAUCGGAAUUACUGGGCGUAAAGCGCGCGUAGGCGGCCAGGUAAGUCAGAGGUGAAAUUCCACGGCUCAACUGUGGCAUUGCCUUUGAUACUGCAUGGCUUGAGUUCGGGAGAGGGUGGCGGAAUUCCUGGUGUAGGAGUGAAAUCCGUAGAGAUCAGGAGGAACAUCAGUGGCGAAGGCGGCCACCUGGCCCGAUACUGACGCUGAGGUGCGAAAGCGUGGGUAGCAAACAGGAUUAGAUACCCUGGUAGUCCACGCCGUAAACGAUGGGUGCUAGGUGUUGGGGGUAUAUCCUUCGGUGCCGUAGCUAACGCGAUAAGCACCCCGCCUGGGGAAUACGGUCGCAAGGCUGAAACUCAAAGAAAUUGACGGGGGCCCGCACAAGCGGUGGAGUAUGUGGUUUAAUUCGAUGCAACGCGAAGAACCUUACCUAGGCUUGACAUCCGGGGGACCCUUCUGAAAUGGAGGGGUGCUUUUCGGAGAGCCCCGAGACAGGUGCUGCAUGGCUGUCGUCAGCUCGUGCCGUGAGGUGUUGGGUUAAGUCCCGCAACGAGCGCAACCCUUGUCCACAGUUGCCAGCAGGUAGAGCUGGGCACUUUGUGGAGACUGCCCCGGUUAACGGGGAGGAAGGUGGGGACGACGUCAAGUCAUCAUGGCCCUUACGCCUAGGGCUACACACGUACUACAAUGGCGCGUACAAAGGGCAGCGAUGCCGUGAGGUGGAGCCAAUCCCAAAAAGCGCGUCUCAGUCCGGAUUGCAGUCUGCAACUCGACUGCAUGAAGUCGGAAUCGCUAGUAAUUCUGGAUCAGCAUGCCAGGGUGAAUGCGUUCCCGGGCCU
rnacentral:rRNA from 1 species